GUCUUCAGGGCAGGGUGAGAUUCCCGACCGGCGGUAUAUAAAAAGAGGGCAGCCUCCUUUUGUGAGCCCGCGAGCGAUAGCAUGACCCGGUGAGAUUCCGGGGCCGACAGUAGAGUCUGGAUGGGAGAAGA
rnacentral:ncRNA from 1 species